CAAGAAGUAGUUUAAUUAGAAUUCACCUUUGGGUCUGAUGGUCGGGCCUACAUUCCUUCUCCCUGC
rnacentral:tRNA from 1 species